rnacentral:rRNA from 1 species
AGUGAACGCUGGCGGUAGGCCUAACACAUGCAAGUCGAACGGCAGCACAGUAAGAGCUUGCUCUUACGGGUGGCGAGUGGCGGACGGGUGAGGAAUACAUCGGAAUCUACUUUUUCGUGGGGGAUAACGUAGGGAAACUUACGCUAAUACCGCAUACGACCUACGGGUGAAAGCAGGGGAUCUUCGGACCUUGCGCGAUUGAAUGAGCCGAUGUCGGAUUAGCUAGUUGGCGGGGUAAAGGCCCACCAAGGCGACGAUCCGUAGCUGGUCUGAGAGGAUGAUCCCCCACACUGGAAAUGGGAAACGGUCCAGACCCCCACGGGAGGCAGCAGUGGGGAAUAUGGGAAAAGGGGCGAAAGCCUGAUCCAGCCAUACCGCGGGGGGGAAGAAGGCCUUCGGGUUGUAAAGCCCUUUUUUUGGGAAAAAAAAGCAGCAGGUUAAAACCCCGCUUUUCUGACGGUACCAAAAAAAAAAGCCCCGGCUAACUUCGU